GAGCCCGUGAAUCCGGGCGGCAGAAUUCAGAAUUGACGGGGCGCGAGUUCCGUCUGUUUGAUAUUUCUGUCGCCGUAUGCACGGACGUCGCGACCUGUUCGAUGUCGGUCGACUUUUUGUCCCAGGAACCGCGUUCGAGUUCGCUGUUGGGGCGUGCGCUCGCGUGCGUCUCGACGGCGAAGGCGCGGACUUCUGGCCGACUCGUCGGACAGUAUGUCAACGGGGGUGGCCGGCGUCGCCUUCAAAAGGGGCGGCGUCGGUGCCGGUCAGCGACGAAUCUUCGGGCCUCUUUCCGACC
rnacentral:rRNA from 1 species